GAGUCAACGUAGCACACGUGGCAUACGGCUCAGUAACACGUAGUCAACAUGCCCAGGGGACGUGGAUAACCUCGGGAAACUGAGGAUAAACCGCGAUAGGUCAUAGUAUCUGGAAUGAUUUAUGGCUUAAAUCUAUAUGGCCCCUGGAUUGGACUGCGGCCGAUCAGGCUGUUGGUGAGGUAAUGGCCCACCAAACCUAAAACCGGUACGGGCUCUGAGAGGAGAAGCCCGGAGAUGGGCACUGAGACAAGGGCCCAGGCCCUAUGGGGCGCAGCAGGCGCGAAAACUCUGCAAUAAGCGAAAGCUUGACAGGGUUAUUCUGAGUGAUUUCCGCUAAGGAAAUCUUUUGGCACCUCUAAAAAUGGUGCAGAAUAAGGGGUGGGCAAGCCUGGUGUCAGCCGCCGCGGUAAUACCAGCACCCCGAGUGGUCGGGACGAUUAUUGGGCCUAAAGCAUCCGUAGCCGGUUCUACAAGUCUUCCGUUAAAUCCACCUGCUCAACAGUUGGGCUGCGGAGGAUACUAUAGAGCUAGGAGGCGGGAGAGGCAAGCGGUACUCAGUGGGUAGGGGUAAAAUCCGUUGAUCCAUUGAAGACCACCAGUGGCGAAGGCGGCUUGCCAGAACGCACUCGACGGUGAGGGAUGAAAGCUGGGGGAGCAAACCGGAUUAGAUACCCGGGUAGUCCCAGCUGUAAACGAUGCAGACUCGGUGAUGAAUAGGCUUCGUGCCUAUUCAGUGCCGCAGGGAAGCCGUUAAGUCUGCCGCCUGGGUAGUACGGUCGCAAGACUGAA
rnacentral:rRNA from 1 species